rnacentral:other from 3 species
GCAUGGAAAGCAAAGGACAUUGGCUGGACGCUAGUAACUAGGAUGGUUACAUCAAGGAAAGUUAAUGGACGCUUAAAGGAAUAAGGCAAUUUCUAUCAGGACGAUAGAUUCAGGACACCGCUUAAGGAUAAAGCGAUGAGAGUUAGCGAGGAUAGCUAACGGGCUGGAUUGCCGAGGACACCGCUAGGAAGGCGAUGAUAAGGAAAGUGCUGAAGGAAUCAGCGUACUAUCAAGGAAUAGAUGCAGGGAGCACCUAUUAGUAGCCGGAUUGCUGCGAGUAAGAAUAAGCCCCACUAGGCGAAAGUUUAGUGGGGUUUUCUUUUACG